rnacentral:lncRNA from 1 species
CUCAUCGCCUCAUAUUGCAUGACAGCAUGAAGUAUGAAAAUAUGGAGGGAACAGACUGAAACAGAAACAAUGACUGAAAAACACGAAAAUAAUAAAAGUUAUAAAACGUAUGUGGACGGUAGGAAACGAUUAUAUUGAUAAUAAGGGAAUAUAUGCAGGUAUUUGAUUUGGCAGCGUGAACUGAAGACACCUGCAGCCGACAUUGACAGUGUUUGUUAUAUCAAAGCCUAUCGAAGGUGAGGAAAUUGUCAUUGUGCUCGUAUUUGUGCCAAAUCCACCAAUAGCAAUUUCCAAUUACCCUAUUGUUCGAGUCACAGAUAGGUAACUUUCCUAAAACAUUGCUAUUGCUUUAUAGUUGGGCAAAAAUACACACGUGAAGGUGAAGGACCAUAUUUAUGAAUAUAAAAUGUUGACUAUUAAACAUAAAUAAAUGGGAGUUUUAGUAUGUAGUUGUAGUAGCAGAUAACUGAAUUUUCUGUAAGUUGCGUGAUUUAACUGUAAGCUCUUAGCCAAUCAAAUUGCUUUUACCAACUACAAUGUAUAAUAAUUAACAAUUAUUGGCUGAAGGCGAGGUGAUUAUUGGUGAAUAAAAACCGAGAUGAAGUCGAGGUUUUUAUUCACAAUAAUCACCAAGCCUGAGGUAAAUAAUUGUUUUAGUAUAAUUUCAUAGGUGAUUAUUUGGGAAAAAAUUAAAAAGACACAUUUCUUUGUCAUUUAAUUGACAAAAUGACUUUGGCUGCCAUUUCAAAAAUUGCUUAGAAUUAUACUAAGCUGUUAUAUUCAUCUACAGGUGAAUAUAACAAAACCGAAAUUUGCAAAAUGACGGCUAGCCGUUUUGUGAAAGUUACUGAUCGAUAAAGAAAUAAGCGAAAUUAAAAUAAAUUCAGUCCCAAAAAGCACAAAAGACUUGUGUAAAAAUACUAAAACAAUUAUUCGCCUCAGGUUCGGUGAUUAUAUCGGGGAAUAUUCAAUAUUCACCUCGACUUCGCCUUGGUGAAUAUUCCCCGAUAAUCACCUCGCCUUUGGUGAAUAAUUGUUAAAUAUUGUUAUUCUAAUGAUGGAGUUUCCCAGCCAUCUCCCCUUCAAUAGGCUGUGGUUUAUAUAUGCAGUGGAACCCCGCUAUUAAUAUUAAACUGAGCUGGCCAUGGGAUUUAUUCUUAGUUCCACUGUUUAUAUAACAUACGGAUUUUAAAUUAUUUGCAAAGUAAACUUUGCCAAACACUGUGCUAUAACUUAGCUAACAGUAGUACAAACUCUGUCAGUUCUUUAGAGUGCACCGUAAUGUCUCACAAUUAGGAUGAUCAUGAAUAAUAAAACGACUAUACCUUAUUAAUUAUUAACAUAAUAAACGAAAUUCAACACCGACCUUGUUAAUUCGAACGCCAGUUCGAGUAAGUGGGGUUCUACUGUAUGUCACAAAUAAAAGCUGUAUCAAUUGGUCAUUGGAUCAGCCACAUUAAGUUAUUUUGUAGUUAUUAUUUCUUGUAAUUUGCCACUAAUUCCAUUUCCCUAACAUUAUCUCGAUCGUUUGUUUACUCCACUGUUAUAUAUAUUCAGUCGUUCAAUUUUGGUUGAAAAACAUGGACUGUUUUAAAGUUAUUGGAUCAAUGUUGCUCAUAUUUGCCUUCCUAAUUAACGUCGCUGAAGCUGACCUUGGAAAAGUUGGCAAAAGUACGUAUUUAUGAAUAUGAAAGAUGCUUUUGAUUGGUCAUUUCAUUUCUUAUCUGAACCGCCCUAUGGAUGAGCUCUGUUCAAAAUUUUACCUCUAGGAAUCAGAC